rnacentral:lncRNA from 1 species
UUCCUUUUCAUAUCUUAACCCUCAACUUUCUAAUGAGCAUGAAUUGUUUUUUCCAAUACGAAAAUUUGUUUUAAAAAAUAAAACUCCCUUCAAACACAUUUCACUUCUGCAAAUAAAAAUAAAAGCACAAAUUCUUCAACAUCGCAGGAAAAAAUUGUUUAUUUCUAAAUCAAAUUUACACAGGAUUUGGAUUUAUUCAUUAAGCAAACACUGGUGAGAAUAAACUGAGUGCCUACUGUCGGCUUAAAGAAAGCUCUCGCGGCUUUCUCGCUUAUUAUGUCAAUUUGAUUUUAAAAAUCUGUUUUUAAUAAAAGACAGUUUCAAGAAACCUGUAACUUUCUAAAACUUCUAAAAGAUAAGGGAUGCUGCGGCUUAGCGCCUCCCGUCUCACGUGACCCUCCCAAACGGGGAAGCCAUCUUAAGCAUCGCCUCAUAGAGGAAACUACAUCUCCCAGAAUCCUUACGGCUUGCGUCGUGCUGGCACUUUUACUGGCAGGGUCUUAGAGCUGAGCCUGUAGCCGGGCGCCAUCUUUGACUCUGGCAGUCUUGGAUUUCUGCUGGUGUUGCUGCUGAGAAGACGGCGGGCGGCAGCGGCUAAGAAAGAAGAAAGACGUGGCAGCAAGCGGGAGUCGGGGAUAGUGUCGACGGUUCGGUAAAGUUUCUGUUCUCUGGGCCCCACUACUUGGGAGAUUUUCUCAAACUCCACACACAGAAAGCCACCGACCUUAUUCCGGUAUCCUACACCCCUUCCGUACUUUAAUUACACUUCCCACCCCCAGCCCUCAGCAUCGGAAUCAAGAACAACAGGGACACUUCCGUUCUCCUUGUGGGAUUGAUGAAACCGUAAUGAAGAACACCCCCUAAACUCCCAUAAUCGAUUUGGGGAUAUUCCCUGCCCAAAAAUUUCCUGGAAAAUUGACUAGUAUUAAGUGUGAGUAAAAGGUGUCCACUUUUUUUAAAGUUUUGAUUUUAGUUUUGUCUUGGAUAGUAUUUGGCAAGAUUUAGCCUAGAAAUUAUGUAGUAUUUAUUACAUGAGAAUCAAAUUGCUUUGUUACUGGGCUGGUUUCAAAAUCUAGAACUCAUUUCUAUGUAUCAAAAUCGCUCUUCAUUUUUGUUUUUUUUUGAAAUUCUUAAAUGGUAAAUGUACCAUUGUGAAAUGAAAUUUGAACUCCCAAAGUUUACCCUUUUACUAAAUGGAGUAAAUGGAUAAUUACAAAGUCUUUAGUUGUAGCCAUCACUAGUAAAGAAUUUGGAACUAGAUUGCAUAAGCCUUUGCAGGGCCACUAUUGAAUGUCAUGCCAGUGACACUGGUGUUGUAAAAGAAGAAAAAAAAUCUUCCCUUAGAUAGAAACUUCCUGUAUUUUGACAGUGCCAGUUCAGGAUGGCUAUAAUGCUGCUCUGCCUUCUACAGCUUGCUGCACCACUCUGUAGUUACUCUGUAACUAUACAUUUCUAUCUUUUUUGGUUAAACACUCCCUGAAGAUGAUAAAAGAUGAUGUGACAAUAUACAUACAUCCAUAUUAUACACAUUGAUAUAUGUGUAAGGAUUUCCCUUCAUUUUUAUUUUGUCGGCUGGGCAAAAUUUAGUGUAACAUUAAAAUACUUCAUGAUACUUUGGUAUAAGAGGAAAUUCACUAUUUUUAUAAUGACCCAAAUUUAAAGGCUUUUGUAGUGUAUUUUAAAAGGGAAAACUUACCCAGAUGUUUUAUUUCUACACAUUUGUGUACGUGUGUGUGUGUUUAUAAGCCAGUUAGUAUAUAUGUAUAUGUAUAUUAUACAUAAAACACUAUAUUUUUACAUACAAGUAUGUUUUUAUUAUACAGAUAAUAAAGAUGGGGGAAGGUUUCUGUUUUUUUCUUAA